GUCAGCAGCCAUAUCACCCUGCAGCUCACCACUGGCUGCCCACUGAAGCUCAGCAGGUGUGAGCCUGGUCAGUACCUGGAUGGGAGACUCCUGGGAAAAACUAAGGCUGCUGCUGAAG
rnacentral:rRNA from 1 species